rnacentral:rRNA from 1 species
UACGAAAGGUGCUAGGGUUGUUCGGAAUUACUGGGCGUAAAGCGCACGUAGGCGGCCUUGUAAGUUGGGGGUGAAAUCCCGGAGCUCAACUCCGGAACUGCCUUCAAGACUGCAAAGCUCGAGGACGCGAGAGGUUAGCGGAAUUCCGAGUGUAGAGGUGAAAUUCGUAGAUAUUCGGAAGAACACCAGUGGCGAAGGCGGCUAACUGGCGCGUUUCUGACGCUGAGGUGCGAAAGCGUGGGCAGCAAACAGG